rnacentral:rRNA from 1 species
UACGAAGGGGGCUAGCGUUGCUCGGAAUCACUGGGCGUAAAGCGCACGUAGGCGGCUUUUUAAGUCAGGGGUGAAAUCCUGGAGCUCAACUCCAGAACUGCCUUUGAUACUGAGAGGCUUGAGUCCGGGAGAGGUGAGUGGAACUGCGAGUGUAGAGGUGAAAUUCGUAGAUAUUGGGAAGAACACCGGUGGCGAAGGCGGCUCACUGGCUCGUAACUGACGCUCAUGCACGACAGCGUGGGGAUCAAACAGG